GAGGGAAACUUACUGAUAAUACUGGAUAAGUUAGUAUAUCGCAUGAUAUGCAAAUGAAAGCUACGGCACUAAAGGAGAGCUUUGCGUCCUAUUAGCUAGUUGGUAAGGUAAGAGCUUACCAAGGCGAUGAUAGGUAGCCGGCCUGAGAGGGUGGACGGCCACAAGGGGACUGAGAUACGGCCCUUACUCCUACGGGAGGCAGCAGAA
rnacentral:rRNA from 1 species